AUCUGGCUCUUUCACAAGGGUCCGAGUUGUAAUUUUGAGAACUGUUUUCUGUGCUGGACCAUUUCUAAGUCUGUUGGAAAACAGCAUCAUAGAGGGUGAUAAUCCCGUUUGUGAUAUGGACUACCAGGGCUAUAUGAUACAGUUUCUAAGAGUCGAGUUGUUUGGGAAUGCAGCUCAAAGUGGGUGGUAAAUUCCAUCUAAGGCUAAAUAUAGGUGAGAGACCGAUAGCAUACAAGUACCGUGAGGGAAAGAUGAAAAGAACUUUGGAAAGAGAGUUAACAGUGUGUGAAAUUGUUGUAAAGGAAACAUUUAAACUUAUUGUUGUGCUUGUCAGUUCAGCCCUCUUAUCAGGGUGUAUUCUGGCAAAUCACGGGCCAACAUCAGUUUUUGAGUGCUGGAUAAGGGUCUUGGGAAUGUAGCAGUCUAGGCUGUGUUAUAGCCCAUGAUUUAGAUACAGUGCUUAGGACUGAGAACAAUCUGCAGCAAGC
rnacentral:rRNA from 1 species